GUCAGGAUGGCCGAGCGGUCUAAGGCGCUGCGUACAGGACGCAGACUCCCCUGGAUGCGUGGGUUCGAAUCCCACUUCUGACA
rnacentral:tRNA from 1 species